rnacentral:piRNA from 1 species
UCAACUGGGCAAAUUCCUAGGAACUGC